UACGUAGGGGCAAGCGUUGUCCGGAAUCAUUGGGCGUAAAGAGCGUGUAGGCGGCCAGAUAAGUCCGCUGUGAAAUCUCGAGGCUCAACUUCGAGCUGUCGGUGGAAACUGUCUGGCUAGAGUCCGGAAGAGGAGAAUGGAAUUCCUGGUGUAGCGGUGAAAUGCGCAGAUAUCAGGAAGAACACCCGUGGCGAAGGCGGUUCUCUGGGACGGUACUGACGCUGAGACGACGAAAGCGUGGGGAGCGAACAGG
rnacentral:rRNA from 1 species